rnacentral:rRNA from 1 species
AUUGAACGCUGGCGGCAGGCCUAACACAUGCAAGUCGAGCGGAUGAGUGGAGCUUGCUCCAUGAUUCAGCGGCGGACGGGUGAGUAAUGCCUAGGAAUCUGCCUGGUAGUGGGGGACAACGUUUCGAAAGGAACGCUAAUACCGCAUACGUCCUACGGGAGAAAGUGGGGGAUCUUCGGACCUCACGCUAUCAGAUGAGCCUAGGUCGGAUUAGCUAGUUGGUGAGGUAAAGGCUCACCAAGGCGACGAUCCGUAACUGGUCUGAGAGGAUGAUCAGUCACACUGGAACUGAGACACGGUCCAGACUCCUACGGGAGGCAGCAGUGGGGAAUAUUGGACAAUGGGCGAAAGCCUGAUCCAGCCAUGCCGCGUGUGUGAAGAAGGUCUUCGGAUUGUAAAGCACUUUAAGCUGGGAGGAAGGGCAGUAAGUUAAUACCUUGCUGUUUUGACGUUACCAACAGAAUAAGCACCGGCUAACUUCGUG